UGACACAGACUAUAACCCCAGCUGGAGUGU
rnacentral:piRNA from 1 species